rnacentral:rRNA from 1 species
UACGUAGGGUCCGAGCGUUGUCCGGAAUUAUUGGGCGUAAAGAGCUCGUAGGCGGUUUGUCGCGUCUGCUGUGAAAUCCCGAGGCUCAACCUCGGGUCUGCAGUGGGUACGGGCAGACUGGAGUGCGGUAGGGGAGACUGGAAUUCCUGGUGUAGCGGUGAAAUGCGCAGAUAUCAGGAGGAACACCGGUGGCGAAGGCGGGUCUCUGGGCCGAUACUGACGCUGAGGAGCGAAGCGUGGGAGCGAACAGG